GCAGAGGACAGUGGUAGAUAUUCUGGUA
rnacentral:piRNA from 1 species